GACGAACGCUGGCGGCGUGCUUAACACAUGCAAGUCGAACGGAAAGGCCCUGCUUUUGUGGGGUGCCCGAGGGGCGAACGGGUGAGUAACACGUGAGUAACCUGCCCUUGACUGUGGGAUAACUGCAGGAAACUGGGGCUAAUACCGGAGAGGAGCUCCUGCUGCAUGGGGGGGGUUGGAAAGUUUCGGCGGUUGGGGAUGGACUCGCGGCUUAUCAGCUUGUGGGUGGGGUAGUGGCUUACCAAGGCUUCGACGGGUAGCCGGCCUGAGAGGGUGACCGGCCACCUUGGGCCUGCGAUACGGCCCAGUCUCCUACGGUAGGCAGCGGUGGGGAAUAUUGCACAAUGGGCGGAAGCCUGAUGCAGCGACGCCGCGUGCGGGAUGACGGCCUUCGGGUUGUAAACCGCUUUCGCCUGUGACGAAGCGUGAGUGACGGUACUGGGUAAAGAAGCACCGGCUAACUACGUG
rnacentral:rRNA from 1 species